AACGCGAAGAACCUUACCAAAUCUUGACAUCCUUUGAAAACUCUAGAGAUAGAGNCUUCCCCUUCGGGGGACAAAGUGACAGGUGGUGCAUGGUUGUCGUCAGCUCGUGUCGUGAGAUGUUGGGUUAAGUCCCGCAACGAGCGCAACCCUUAAGCUUAGUUGCCAUCAUUAAGUUGGGCACUCUAGGUUGACUGCCGGUGACAAACCGGAGGAAGGUGGGGAUGACGUCAAAUCAUCAUGCCCCUUAUGAUUUGGGCUACACACGUGCUACAAUGGACAAUACAAAGGGCAGCUAAACCGCGAGGUCAUGCAAAUCCCAUAAAGUUGUUCUCAGUUCGGAUUGUAGUCUGCAACUCGACUACAUGAAGCUGGAAUCGCUAGUAAUCGUAGAUCAGCAUGCUACGGUGAAUACGUUCCCGGGUCUUGUACACACCGA
rnacentral:rRNA from 1 species